UGCAGGGAGGAAGGGGGUUUCUGGUCUGGUUGCCAGGCUCUGGGGAUGGGGGUGGGGAGGGCACAGGGUCGAGGGAUCCUGCUUUGGAUAGGGAGGGCCAGGGUUUCCCAAAACAAGUAUUUGGACACAGAUUUUAGAGGAACUGGAAAUUUUCUCUGAGGCAGGUGGACAAAGAGUUGAUAAAGGUAACCGCCGCACCCCCCCCCCCCGCCAGCCUGUAGAAGUUCUUCUGAAAGAGAUCUGAAUGACACAGCAUAAACAAUGAGUUUUAAUAUUUGUAGAUUAAAUUUAUUUUUGUAAAUUAAAUUUAAUAUUUGUAGAUUAAGAUUUGUAGCAAAUACUACCCUGGUACUAGCUGGGUGGAAUUCCGCAAAGCAAGCUCUCUCCUGAGAAUGGCGGCCAGAUGUAGCCCUUUUUGAUUGGCACAGGCUAGUCAUGUGACAUCCAGGUGUGGGCGGGCAUAGGCCCAACUUCAGCGGUGAUCUCCCGGCUCCAUGUUGGAUCUCCUUAACAUUGUGAUUCCAUUUCCUUGUUUCAGUUCACAGUUGUGUUGUGAGCCAGUGUUCUUUGUGAGUCCGGUAUAAGGGGCCAGAUGACAACUCACGGAGAGAGCUGAGCACACAUACAAGCUCCACUGGAUGUAGAUAAGCUAGGAAGUUAAUAUCUUCUUCUCUAGAUAACAAGUAUUUCCCCAGAGAGCUCAGAUUGCAUAGCUGUAACAGUAGCUAAACCACAACCACAGCUGUGGGUUUAGAAAACAUCUUGCGUCGAAAGCAAUAUGGCAUAUUUAGCAAGAACCUUCCAACAUUCAGCUUGCAGACACGGGAAGCAAGAUUGCGCAGGGCAUAAGUAAGGAUAGUCUUCAACAGAAAAUGGCACAGCAUGUUUGACCAACCUGUGUCGUUGCACUGGUUCUCCAGAAAUGGCACGGGCAACUCCAGGAUAUACAUUCUUAUGUUGUUCAGGACAAAGGUGGCUACAAUGUUCGCAAUUAAUUCCAUGACGCGAAGUUGAUACUAAACGUGACUGAAUUGCUAUAGGACAGAAGGAGUGUGCUCUUCUCUGUUUCGUUCCCAAAAUUUUGUCUCGCAUAGAAAUCCAGCCUUUUAUAAUUACUGGAAUGAGUCAUUCUCUGACGUCACACUCUUACACGAAAGAGGGGCUCCUGGCCAAUGAGAUUGUAACAUGUGUCUCAGCAGCCAGUACCGGUAUAAGAGAAGCAUUUCUCACAACAGAAGGCACGUGUCAGAUGCUACCUUGCAGUCUGCAUACCAGCAGAGUUACCGAGAGGCCUAAAUUUGAUUCUUGGUGCUCCAGAUCUUCUGUAAAGGAGUAGCUCUGUUUAUGUUUUCAGGAACCUUGCAGUUCUCCAAUGUUCCAAUGGAGCUCCCUCCUCUAGCCUAGGGAAUGUGUAUGGGAGGAAAUUAAUGCAAUGGUGCAAUUUUCUGGCCCCUUUCAAGAUUUCCUGACAGUCUGUUCAUCCCAGGGACCAUUGUCAUCUUCCUUCAUCCUGCCCUGCUGACCACAUGCUUCGCUGUACUGCCCUCGCUUCAGUCAGUAGCUUCAGAAAUGGCCAGGUUUUCUGAGAUACCCCUGGGAAUUUUAAUGGCUACAUGGGGCACCUUGGGAAUUGCAAGCGGGCUCCUUUGAAACCCCCUCCUCUGCCACCUUUCUGUUCCUCCUUCCUCCUGUUUUGCCCUUUGACUUUCCCUUCAGUUCCCUUGGAUCCUUUUUUUUUUUUUAAUUCUUUUUUUUAUUUAAAAAAGUUAAAUUAUUUUUCUAUUUUAUUUUGAGAGAGAGAGAGAGAGUGAGAGAGAGCAAGGGGGUAGGGGCAGAGAGAGUGGGAGACAGAAUCUCAAGCAGGCUCUGCGCUGUCAAUGCAGAGCCAGUUGUGGGGCUCAAACUCACUGUGAGAUCAUGACCUGAGGCAAAACCAAGAGUUGGACGCUUAAAGGACUGAGCCACCCAGGUUCCCAUCCCUUGGAUCCUUAGAUGUGUCCCCUUUCAACACCUUCACCUCCUCUAGCCCUCUGUCUACACCUCUGAGACCUUCCCCUUCCCACUAGGACUCCUCUGCUGUGACAGUCUCUGGGGCUUCGUUGUGCUGCCCCCAUCAUGGUCAUUCAAGGGACUCAAGGACCCCACCUGAGGCUGUGCAGCUCCAUGGAAGUGGGCUGGAUAUUAUGUCGCUGGGACAGGCUAUGGAGACACUCAGAUGGCUGGCUGCUUGGUCUGUCCUCAGUCUCUGCCUGCAGUUUCAUCCAGAGCCUCCAUUGGCUGACACAUGAGGGCACAGGACAUCUUCUGAGUCCCCUCCACAAAGAUUGAUAGGAGUGCUUCAGGCCUCUUCUUGAGCAGGUGACCUCAACUUGCCCAGUCCCCUGGCACCUGCUCCUGGUUAGGAGGUCAAGGUGAGAAAAGAGUGAGAGCCAGGACUUUCCACUAGGAAGUUGUCUUCGUUGAACAGAUGCUCUAAGCACUCUUGUUGCAUCUGUCUCUCUGAUGAGUGCGUAAGGACCGAGAAAAGGUCAACUGAGGCACAUUCAUAUUUUCAAGAGUUUACCUGAGCAUAUAGAGAUUGGAAUUGGGCAGAACCAGAGCACAGAUGGCCAGAGGUACUCCAAGAACAGGAGCCAGGCCAAAGGUUUUUCUAAAGAAGAGCUGGAAGCAAAGCAAUAACAUAGUUUGAUUGGCUAUGGCUGGAGCUUUGGUCUUCUUUGGGCAAACCAAGUUGGCGGUCUGUGCUUGGCUUCCCAGUUUUCUCUUCUGGGGUGGGGGUGCUCUGACCCUAGCUCAGGUUUUGGUUUGGCUGUGUAGGCCACCAAGGUGUUAGAGCCACCUCAGCCUGCUGUUGGCUUGUUUAAUUACAUUAGUAGAGUGUAUGUGUCCUAUGUGUAAUAUGUGCCCUCCUUUGCCUGGUGGUACUAGAUGAGUCCCUACAAUUCCUGAGAGUCUCCAUUGUAAAGGCUAUAGAGAAAAAUAAGUGAAUAUUUGUAAAAAUGUCCUUAGGUGAUGGGGCGCCUGGGUGGCUCAGUUGGUUAAGCGGCUGACUUCGCUCAGGUCAUGAUCUCAUGGUCAGUGAGUUCGGCCCCGCGUCGGGCUCUGUGCUGACAGCUCAGAGCCUGGAGCCUGUUUCAGAUUCUGUGUCUCCCUCUCUCUGACCCUCCCCCGUUCAUGCUCUGUCUCUCUCUGUCUCAAAAAUAAAUAAAUGUUAAAAAAAAAUUAAAAAAAAAAAUAAAGCAGGAAGGUGAGGAGGUAUGGGACAUAUGGAAUUUUCCCUUUCUUGGUAACUGUGCCUGGCUGUAAGUAGCCCAUUGGUCAGUUAGGGCUUAUGAUUGUUUUGAGGUGGGUCACCCAAUAGGCCUGUUUGUAUUUAGCCAGGGGGUCACUGUGGGCCCUUUCUGCAGUCCAUCGCGCAAACCUGUUUUCCUAAAAGUGCCUCUACAAAUCAUAUUUGCCAGUAUACACUACCAGGAAUACACAGUAAAAAAAAAAAAAAAAUACACGGAAGUGGGGGCAGAUACUUACAAUGGGGCAAAACCCCAAGUGAAACAGAAACAUGACUUGAAAAUUCUACUAUACAUUAUUUGGGCAUGGCAACUACUGAAAACUUUGUCUUUUGAUGGUCUUGCUGACACUUAUAGUUUCACCUUUGUCGAUGAUUGUGAUUCUGAUGAUGAUGACAACAGGGAUAUUCUAAGAGCAUUUUAAAGAGCUUUCUUCUGGGGCGCCUGGGUGGCUCAGUUGGUUAAGCAGCCAGUUUCGGCUCAAGUCAUGAUCUUGCACUCGUGAGUUCAAGCGCUGCAUUGGGCUCCGUGCUGACAGCUCGGAGCCUGGAGCCUGCUUUGGAUUCUGUGUCUCCCUCUCUCUCCAACCCUUCCAUGCCCAUUCUCUGUCUCUCUCUCUCCCCAAAAUAAAUAAUAAACAUUAUAAAAAUUUUGAAGAGCUUUCUUCUGUCAUCUUCAUAGUAUAUACAGGUAGCAUGGUAUAUCCACUUAUGUGCUACUUUCUUUUCACUGAGCUUUCGUGAAGUUGCAGAAAUGACCCUAAGUAGAGCCUGACUGACAGGCAGGAUUCAGGGGUCUACUCAUUAUCUGCCAAAACCGUGUGUGGCUUAGGCACAGUCAUCUGUCUUUCAGAUUCUUUUUUGUCCUACAGGAAAAUAAGAUAUUGCAACAGAGGUUACUUUUUUUUGUCCUUUUCAGGUCUAUUAGAAAAUUUAUGCAGAAUGCCUGCACAGUAAGAUCUAUACUAUAUGAAUCCAAGGAAAUGCUUAUUCUGACUAAAAUAUUUCCUCAAAUCUGAUCUAUGCUCUUUGUGAAACUCCCAACAGUACCAUGUCUCAUGCACAGAGUCAACAGGCCUCUUCACUGCAUUGCUGAAUAUUUUCAAGAUGAAAAGCUUGUU